GAUGAACGCUAGCGACAGGCUUAACACAUGCAAGUCGAGGGGCAGCGGGGGAGUAGCAAUACUCCCGCCGGCGACCGGCGCACGGGUGAGUAACACGUAUGAAACCUGCCCGUAGCAGGGGGAUAAGCGGAAGAAAUUCCGUCUAAUACCGCGUAACAACCCAUGGAGGCAUCUCCGUGGGUUUAAAGGAAGCGAUUCCGGCUACGGAUGGUCAUGCGUCGCAUUAGCUUGUUGGCGGGGUAACGGCCCACCAAGGCGACGAUGCGUAGGGGUUCUGAGAGGAAGGUCCGCCACACUGGUACUGAGACACGGACCAG
rnacentral:rRNA from 1 species